AUGCCAUGAUGAGGACAUCUUCUCAGGAGUUCCUUAAACCGUUCCCAAGCUUCAUAUAGUGACUCUCCUUCAUUCUGGCAAAAGUUAUUGAUCUCUCCCCCUCAAUUU